AGUGAACGCUGGCGGUAGGCCUAACACAUGCAAGUCGAACGGCAGCACAGUAAGAGCUUGCUCUUACGGGUGGCGAGUGGCGGACGGGUGAGGAAUACAUCGGAAUCUACUUUUUCGUGGGGGAUAACGUAGGGAAACUUACGCUAAUACCGCAUACGACCUACGGGUGAAAGCAGGGGAUCUUCGGACCUUGCGCGAUUGAAUGAGCCGAUGUCGGAUUAGCUAGUUGGCGGGGUAAAGGCCCACCAAGGCGACGAUCCGUAGCUGGUCUGAGAGGAUGAUCAGCCACACUGGAACUGAGACACGGUCCAGACUCCUACGGGAGGCAGCAGUGGGGAAUAUUGGACAAUGGGCGCAAGCCUGAUCCAGCCAUACCGCGUGGGCGAAGAAGGCCUGCGGGUUGUAAAGCCCUUUUGUUGGGAAAGAAAAGCAGCAGGUUAAUACCCCGCUGUUCUGACGGUACCCAAAGAAUAAGCACCGGCUAACUUCGU
rnacentral:rRNA from 1 species